rnacentral:tRNA from 1 species
CCGACCGUAGCCCAAAGGAUGAGAGCUCCGGAGUACCGUUGUGGUGGUUGCGGGUUCAAGUCUCGCCGGCUGUC